UGAUAGUUUUUCUUUUUUUUUAAACCAGAAAUGUAUGCAGAAAAGGGAAGAACCUAAGUUUGAUUCACCAAUGAUUGACCGGGCUAACAAGUAGGGGAUUUUCUCGCUAGCAUAUAAAACAUCACAAAUUUGGUAUGAUAGCCCUGUUAACAACUGAUAACAAAGAUGAAGGGGGUCAUGGUUUUUGCAGUUUUCUUGGUAGCAUUGAUGCUGGUAGACGAGGAAACUACCGCUGCGACUACCUCGACGAUCACCACUACUACAACUCAACCAGGUAAUCCAGUACCAGGUGGUCCAGUAACAAAUGCUCCUGCAGCAGGUACUCCAACUAAUGCACCAGCUAAUGCACCAUCUAAUGCACCAGGUGGAAAUAAUGGUGUUACAGGAAUAACCGGAAAUGCGUUGUUAACAUUCCUAGGUUUGGGAUUUUACGGAAUCAUGAAAUUGAUGUGAUGCUGCAUGGAGUUUUAAAUUGUUCAGGAAACAGAUUGGACAGACAAGUGAAAUACAAGCGAUGUGUUAUACUAAAUUGUAUAGUACUCUCUCUUUGUCCUGCAUUUUUCACCUCCAUUACUGACAGUAGUUACACUGAUGAUGAAAAAUCUCGCCCUCCAUUUUCUAAAACAUUUAGAGGAUUUACAACAGAGGAAAUAUUUUUAGUUAUUCAUUAAAACUUGUUUCUAAACCUC